rnacentral:rRNA from 1 species
GACGAACGCUGGCGGCGUGCUUAACACAUGCAAGUCGAACGGACAGACCCUGCUUUUGUUGGUCUCUCGUUUGCCGCGCACGAGUGUGACACGUGAGUAUCCUGCCCUUGUCAUUGGGGUAAAUCCAGGGGACUCCGGCGAUUACCGGGUAGGAGAUCCUGCAGCAUGGUGGUGGUUGGAAAAUUUCGGCGGUUGGGGCUGGACUCGCGGCUUACCAGCUUGUUAGUGUGGUAGUUGAUUACAAGGGCUACGACGGGUAGCCGGCCUGAGAGGGUGACCGGGCACAAUGGGACUGAGAUACGGACCAGACGCCUACGGUAGGCAGUGGUGGGGAGUCUUGCGCAAUAGGCGGAAGCGUGAGGCAGCGACGCCGCGUGCGGGAUACCGGGCUUCGGGUUGUAAACCGCUGUCGCCUGUGACGAAGCGUGAGUGACGGUACUGGGUAAAGAAGCACCGGCUAACUACGUG